rnacentral:tRNA from 1 species
GGGGAUUUAGCUCAGUGGUGCAGCACCUGCCUGGCAAGCACGAAGCCCUGGGUUUGAUUCCCGGUACCA